GGGUAAUUCAAAAACCCCUAGUUUUGCGGCAGACGGUAUUUCCUUUGCUUCCCUAAUUUUCGCUGCCCGUAGAAAUACCGCCUGCCAUGCAGGCUACGUCCCUGGCGCUUUGAUGUGCUUACUGGUUGCGUGACGCACGCGCGGGAAUCGAGGUGCGUUGCUCACUACGGGACGCGGAAGCGCCUCGCAGAAAACGUGUCGAUUUCUGAAAUUUCUGUCGAUUUCUGAACUUUCAAAGCCAUUGUUCGAUUUUCUUGAUUAUUUUGCUUUAUUCACGACGGAAUCAUGGACGAGAUCAGUGAAUCUCUUCACAAUAUUUCCUUUGAAGGUAAAUUUGUAUGAAUUUGUCUCAUUAUAUAUUUUAAUAUGAUUUAUUGUCUUGUUGACUGCUAUAAUUUUAUAAUUUUAAUAUUAUGUGAACCAAAUAUUUAUAUGAAAAUCAUUCUGAUCAACGUGUUCGUAGGGUUUUAAGGCUGCGUAUGAUUUCGGAGUCCUUUAUACUGUACAUUUAUAUUUAUUUAGUAUUAGUAAAUUUUCCCUGACAAAUUUUGAGUGAUAUCUUUGCCAGGUUCUU